AGAGUUUGAUCCUGGCUCAGGACGAACGCUGGCGGCGUGCCUCAUACAUGCAAGUCGAGCGAGCUUGCCUAGAUGAUUUUGGUGCUUGCACUAAAUGAAACUAGAUACAAGCGAGCGGCGGACGGGUGAGUAACACGUGGGUAACCUGCCCAAGAGACUGGGAUAACACCUGGAAACAGAUGCUAAUACCGGAUAACAACACUAGACGCAUGUCUAGAGUUUGAAAGAUGGUUCUGCUAUCACUCUUGGAUGGACCUGCGGUGCAUUAGCUAGUUGGUAAGGUAACGGCUUACCAAGGCAAUGAUGCAUAGCCGAGUUGAGAGACUGAUCGGCCACAUUGGGACUGAGACACGGCCCAAACUCCUACGGGAGGCAGCAGUAGGGAAUCUUCCACAAUGGACGAAAGUCUGAUGGAGCAACGCCGCGUGAGUGAAGAAGGGUUUCGGCUCGUAAAGCUCUGUUGGUAGUGAAGAAAGAUAGAGGUAGUAACUGGCCUUUAUUUGACGGUAAUUACUUAGAAAGUCACGGCUAACUACGUGCCAGCAGCCGCGGUAAUACGUAGGUGGCAAGCGUUGUCCGGAUUUAUUGGGCGUAAAGCGAGUGCAGGCGGUUCAAUAAGUCUGAUGUGAAAGCCUUCGGCUCAACCGGAGAAUUGCAUCAGAAACUGUUGAACUUGAGUGCAGAAGAGGAGAGUGGAACUCCAUGUGUAGCGGUGGAAUGCGUAGAUAUAUGGAAGAACACCAGUGGCGAAGGCGGCUCUCUGGUCUGCAACUGACGCCGAGGCUCGAAAGCAUGGGUAGCGAACAGGAUUAGAUACCCUGGUAGUCCAUGCCGUAAACGAUGAGUGCUAAGUGUUGGGAGGUUUCCGCCUCUCAGUGCUGCAGCU
rnacentral:rRNA from 1 species